AAACCAGAGAUAACAGAGAUAUGACAGCUUUUGAAUGCUCCAUAAGAAAUGCAUGGGAGCGAAGUGAACACAGAAUUUGACGUAAAGGACGGUUGGGGGCACAACAUUUGUGGUGGUAAACCUGAUAUCUUAAUAUCUAUGUUAAAUGUUACUAAAUAUAUUACUAGUAAAAGUGACAUAACGAACGAAAAACACGAACUCUGAGAUAACCUCAAUUAAAUAUGAUGCGAUGGUUUCAAAUUAUAAAAGAAAAGUCAUGUUAACUGCAUAUGUAUGUAUGUAUUUAUUACAGUUACAUACAUUUGGUAAAAUUUUACAAAGAGCACUUCUCGAUUUCGUACAAACUGUUUGCACAGAACUCUUCUACAGGACCCCCUGAUCACGUUCCUCACCUUCAAAUGUUGUGGAAAUGCUUACUUUUGCCACAAAAAAAUUGUUAAAUUUCCCAUUUGCACACUCUUCAAUGGCAAGUCGUUUCGAACAUAACCUAACUUUUUAUAGUCAACAACACGGGUAGGUGUAAUAUCGGGUUUGUAGUGGAGGCAGGGCGCUUCGCGCCCUGCACCCCAUUACAAACAUACCCCUAAACGUGGCACUUCUUGCUCCGUGGAUCAUUUAGUUUUUGGAAUUCGUGCGAGUUCAACUGUGUGUGUAGUUGGUUGCCUACAUGCGGCGCAACUAAUAGUGUGCAAACCAUAGGGCGAACACUAAAUUUUUUUUUCUGACACUAGGAAGCAUUUCCACAACUUUUGAAGGUAAGGAACGUAAUCAGGGGGUCCUGUAGAAGACUUCUGUGCAAACAGUUUGUGCGAAAUCGAGAAGUGCUCUUUGUAAAAUUUGACCAUACAUUUUAACAAACAAUAUACUAUUGGUUGCUUCUGUAGUUCCCUAUUAUGGAAUUUCAAUGUAUAAAAUAUACGUAAUCGCACAAAUAAUGACAAAAGGUAAUCAAGGGGGAGAUUACUACAUGGAUGCUAUUAAGGCCAGCUGGUUUUUAAGUUGUCUGGGAACUUGAAGCGAAAGUGUAUUAUCUACUGAAGGCAUUUUCUAAUUGUUCAAUGUAAUAUGCAAACUGUUCAUACGAAACAUUAAGAUUGCCAUAAGAUAAAGUUUCAGAAUUGUGGGCUUGGAAACGACAAUAAUGUAGUUCUAGAAUUUCUGCCACAUGCAUUUGUAUAUUCACAGCAUAUCUGAGAAGAGUGUUUUAAGCAUGCAUCCACUGAGUAUCCACAUAUUUAUCGGCAUUAUGAGAUGGUUGGGAAUUAUUAAUUAUGGUGGUGAUGUUGUACCUCUCACUUAAAUUGGAGAUAUCUUCAUUAGCAGAUAAGAAUUGUGGUGUGAUCAGAUGAUUAAAAGAGGACUUGCGUUUGUGGUGUAUUUAUUUUUAAUGUUGUCGGUUCAGUAGAUAAGGGAAAAGUGAAGAGUGUUGUCUGUGAUUUUGAAAAUGAAAAGACAGGUCGGUAGAGAGCGGUGAAACGGUUGUGUCGAAAGGGUUCUUAGAAGGUACUCGAAAUCUUCGAAGGAUAAGAAUUAUUGGGAAGGGCGAACAAAAGAUAGGUUUUACGACAUGCAGGUGUACGAAGAGAAAGUUUCAGGAUGAUAGUGGUUGGAAGUCAAUAAAUACAGACUAUACAAAUAUUACAUGUUGCACAAUUUUGUGGGAUUUGUUAGCCCCCACAAAAUGUUGCUAAAUCAAAAGCACAAUUACCAGUUGGAUUGUGCUGCAUAUAUUUUAUACAGAACAAUAGCUUGUAUUUGGUUAUAUUCUAAUAAAGUGUGAUGUAAAUAACUAUUAAUAAUAUGAGGAUAAAAAUAAUUUUAUUAACACCCGCACAGAACUAAAAGUGACUAAAGUCAUCUUCGCAAUGAAAAGGUAACAUUCAAUAUUAUAACUGUAUUUGUACCCCUUAAAGUGUCGUCCUUGAAUUUCAACGUUAGGUUGUAAUAACAAUCUUUGAAUGAGCUAGAGGGUACUUUUAUUAUUAUCCUCGCUAUAAAAUUGUACAGUUUGUGUUGUGUAUGCACAUUUUAGAGUUUUAAAGGAUAAGAAAAGUUAAUACAAGCAUUUUGAGUAA